UUGGAACGCAAAACGGCGAUGUAGUGUAUGCAUAUAUUGGCGCGUCAAUAUUGUAUAUUUGCUUCAUCAGUACUGUAUGCUGCUUGUGAUUUCUCUAUGAAAAUCAAUCUUGUAUGUAGCGCUAUUUUACAUCGCCCUGCUCAUAAGCUUGAUAGUCUCCGAUCGUACUCUCGUUUUAUCUGUGGCACAUGUGUCGGCAUUUCGAUGUCUUCGGUGGUUUGUCUGUGUUCUGUUGUCAUCCGUGUCCUAUAGACCAUUGAAGAUGGCCAUAUUAAACGGUUUAAAUCCUUCAACAAUAGGCAAUUAUUUUAAAUUCUCCCGACGUUUGGUGUGUUUGCCGAUUCCUUGUUUGCAAUGGAGCUUAUAACUUAUAGAUCAACUAAGUCGGAACCGCAGGGAGACUUUUAAUAAAUUAAUUAAUUUAAAUGCUGGCAGUUUGGUCGCUCUUUUGAUGGGCGAUUGGCCGACUUUCUCUGAUAAGUGGCUUUUUAAAUCACGUAAUAUUGCGGCUCACCGGCCCGAGGAUAAACCGUUCUGCCCUUUUGAACUAGUUUCGUUUUUCAAACUGUAAAUUAUUUGACUAAUGCCGUUUGACUACCCAUCAUUUACCCGUUUAUGAAACAGAAGCAGAUGAACUGAUCCCGAGGAUGGCGCAGAGAGUAAAACGCUUUGGACCGAGGGUAAACACAUAAAUUGUACAAACUGGUCUUUUUUAAAUCACACGCUCAUUAAUAAUUAGUGUAGAGCGUUAGAGUGAGAGAUACCAACGAACUGCAUAUGUAUGUUCGAAAGUUGUUAUUUCUUCAGAGAUGUUUCGUUUAGGGGAAAUCGCGUACGCACUUACAUAAACGUAACACCGAUGCGUAAAACCGUCGGCGGUAUUGCUAAACGAAAAGGAAAAUCACGAUCCGAAAAGGGUUUCCAAGUUUCACCGAGCCCUUUUGCUCCUCUUCCUUUAGGGUAAAACCACUCGUGGGAAAUUUUCAGGGAAUUUGGAAAUGUUUGCUAUUAUGUCUGGGCGAAUAAUAAAAUUAUUGGCCAAAUAAUCAAAAGUAAA